rnacentral:rRNA from 1 species
UACGUAGGCAGCGAGCGUUGUUCGGAGUUACUGGGCGUAAAGAGUGCGUAGGCGGUGGUCUAAGUCUGGUGUGAAAUCUCCCGGCUCAACUGGGAGGGUGCGCCGGAAACUGGGCUACUCGAGUGUGGGAGAGGCAAGCGGAAUUCCUGGUGUAGCGGUGAAAUGCGUAGAUAUCAGGAGGAACACCUGCGGUGUAGACGGCUUGCUGGACCAUGACUGACGCUGAGGCACGAAAGCGUGGGGAGCAAAC